CCCUCAAUCUCACUUGGCAAAUAAAAGACAACAAUUUCUAUUACUGGGGAAAUAUCACCGUUCAUUCUGUAACUUCUACUAAAAAUAGGUUUCAAGAUUAGUGGUGUUGUUCAGGCCAACCACCUACCCUACCUAUGUUAU